ACUACAUACACUGCAUUCAUUGUACACACUCUGCACUCACUACAAACACACUAAAUUCAUUAUAUACAAUUUGCACUUACUACAAACACACUACAUUCAUUAUACACACUCUGCACUCACUACAAACACACUACAUUCACUAUACACACUCUGCAUUCAUUAUACACACUCUGCACUCACUACAAAAACACUACAUUCACUAUACACACUGCAUUCGCUAUACACACUGCACU